rnacentral:sRNA from 1 species
GAGUUGCUCCUACUUGCAAUCCGAGAGGACCACACUGAAACUAUUUAUUGAAUUGCAAACAGUGCGGUGCUUUUAAUUUCUCACAAAAAGCAACUGGGCCCCAAUACACAUUCAAAAUCUUGGCUUAUGGAUUUUAAGGCGAGCACAGUGAGAGAUAAACACGUACUGUACAGCUGAACAGGCGUUGGGUGUGGGAAGGAUGCUCCUAGUUCACGGAGCAGGAAUGAAAAGCAUCAGACUUUGGGUUGAUCAGAAGAAAAUGCAUGCCUGUCCCUCUGUACACGUGGCCACAUCGUGCGAUCCGUUUUGACUCAAGUUUUUCACAAAUGGUGUUGAACGUGCAGAUUAGAAAUCCCAUUCUUACGUACCAUGGUUCAACGAAUUACGGGAUCAGUAAAAAUCACAAUAGCCGCACAGUAUUUCGUCGUGUCGCUUAAAUUGCCAAUGUAAACAAGUUACUGUCUUGGUCUUGGAAGCUGAUGCUUAAAAAAAAUAGAAAGGAAGAGCCAGCGAGACCGGAUCCAAUCACUGCUGUUGUGAAUAGACGGUGCGCCAGAAAAAAAAAAUCUAUUACCCGGUCCGCGUAUAGGUGUGUCGACUCGGAGGAAUUCACCUAUUUCUGGAUUCUUAUGAAAUACUUUGUUAGGGCUUUUGGUAACGAAUUCCAAAUGUUAACAUUAUUAUUAUUAUUAUUAUUUUAAUUUUGAAAUAAAAGUAGAACAUUCUCUGUU